rnacentral:tRNA from 1 species
GUUUUAAUAGUUUAAAAAAAAUUUUGGUCUUGUAAACCAAAGAAGAAAUAUUCCCUUCUUAAAACU